AAGAGACAGCAGUCGCCACGGGAAAACGAAGGGGGCUAGCGUUGCUCGGAAUUACUGGGCGUAAAGGGAGCGUAGGCGGAUCGUUUAGUCAGGGGUGAAAUCCCGGGGCUCAACCUCGGAACUGCCUUUGAUACUGGCGAUCUUGAGUAUGGGAGAGGUGUGUGGAACUCCGAGUGUAGAGGUGAAAUUCGUAGAUAUUCGGAAGAACACCAGUGGCGAAGGCGACACACUGGCCCAUUACUGACGCUGAGGCUCGAAAGCGUGGGGAGCAAACAGGAUUAGAUACCCGUGUAGUCCCUGUCUCUUAUCC
rnacentral:rRNA from 1 species